UGGGGGAUAUUGCACAAUGGGGGAAACCCUGAUGCAGCGACGCCGCGUGUGGGAAGACGGUCCUCUGGAUUGUAAACCACUGUCCCCAGGGACGAAUCUGACGGUACCUGGGGAGGAAGCUCCGGCUAACUACGUGCCAGCAGCCGCGGUAAUACGUAGGGAGCGAGCGUUGUCCGGAAUUAUUGGGCGUAAAGAGCUCGUAGGCGGUUUGUCGCGUCGGCCGUGAAAACCUGCAGCUUAACUGUGGGCGUGCGGUCGAUACGGGCAGACUUGAGUUCGGCAGGGGAGACUGGAAUUCCUGGUGUAGCGGUGAAAUGCACAGAUAUCAGGAGGAACACCGGUGGCGAAGGCGGGUCUCUGGGCCGAUACUGACGCUGAGGAGCGAAAGCGUGGGGAGCGAACAGGAUUAGAUACC
rnacentral:rRNA from 1 species